rnacentral:piRNA from 1 species
UGAGUGGGUUGCAGCUGCUGACUGGA